rnacentral:lncRNA from 1 species
AGGAAGCCCUGUGUGUUGCCAAAUCGAAGUGGAAAUGGGAGCCCAGGUGCUGGAUAUCAAAUUGAUGAUGGCAUGCUAGAGAGUCUGAGUGCACUGACCAGAUUUUGCAACUUAAUAUCUUCUGAACUGGACAUUGUCAAGGUUGUACAAAGUUUAUAAUUGAGCAGUUUUGGUUGACUCACUGUGUUAUUCACUUAGCUUUGCCAGUUGUCCCCCUUAUCUGUCCACUCAUGAACUGUUUUUCUAUUUUCCACAUUGAAAUCCCAGUGGUUUCUGAGUGUCAACUUUCUAGGCUCAUGGUAACCUUUUUGACAUCAAGCAGAUUUUUUU